rnacentral:lncRNA from 1 species
CUUUCUGCAUUUAGUAAUUUGAAUAAUGAAUGGUUCAGUUAGAUGAUCACUAUAAAUGUUUGGAUAUUUGUGAACUGGUUUUGAGUUAAUGUGUUUUUUUAAUGCAUGCAAUUGGAUUUAUGGAUCUUUAGUAUUGGAUUUAUACGUUGUGGUUUUCUACCCCUCGAGGUAGUCAGUUUCAAAAUGAACUUUUCAAGUGGAAAACAAUUUUAAAAGAUUUUCGAAUGAUUUUUAUGAUUGAUUAAUUAGAGUUUAAAAAUAAAGCUUCCGGGUGGGGAGGACUUUUAAAUAGGAUGACUGUUUUACUGUACAUCGCAUCAUCUAGCGCCUAAGAAGUGUUUAGAGGCAUGUAUCAUUUCUAAGGAUCGCUAGCUGUAUGAAAAUGUAUGGCAUGAGUCGAUUGUGGAUUUGUAAAUGUAGGUUGUUGUUGUGAUCCUGGGGUUGUUGUUGGUACGCCGUGUAAAUACAAAGGAGG